rnacentral:rRNA from 1 species
CCAAUAGCGUAUAUUAAAGUUGCUGCAGUUAAAAAGCUCGUAGUUGAAUUUCGGGGUUAGUAAGUUGGUCAUGCCUUUGGUAUGCACUGGCUUUACUGAUUCCUCCUUCUUGACGAACCGUGAUGUCAUUAAUUUGGUGUUGCGGGAAAUCAGGACUGUUACUUUGAAAAAAUUAGAGUGUUUAAAGCAGGCUAACGCUUGAAUACAUUAGCAUGGAAUAAUGAAAUAGGACGUUAAUCCUAUUUUGUUGGUUUCUAGGAUCGACGUAAUGAUUAAUAGGGAUAGUUGGGGGCAUUAGUAUUCAAUUGUCAGAGGUGAAAUUCUUGGAUUUAUUGAAGACUAACUACUGCGAAAGCAUUUGCCAAGGAUGUUUUCAUUAAUCAAGAACGAAAGUUAGGGGAUCGAAGACGAUCAGAUACCGUCGUAGUCUUAACCAUAAACUAUGCCGACUAGGGAUCGGAUGAUGUUAAUUCUUUAAUGACUCAUUCGGCGCCUUACG